rnacentral:rRNA from 1 species
GUGUCAGCCGCCGCGGUAAUACGUAGGUGGCAAGCGUUAUCCGGAUUUACUGGGCGUAAAGAGUGCGUAGGCGGUUCUUCAAGUCGGAUGUGAAAUCUCCCGGCUUAACCGGGAGGGGUCAUUCGAAACUGUUGGACUAGAGGACAGCAGGGGGAGGUGGAAUUCCCGGUGUAGUGGUGAAAUGCGUAGAUAUCGGGAGGAACACCAGUGGCGAAGGCGGCCUCCUGGGCUGUUUCUGACGCUGAGGCUCGAAAGUGUGGGGAGCGAACAGGAUUAGAUACCCUGGUAGUCCACACUGUAAACAAUGGACACUAGGUAUGGGGAGUAUCGACCCUUUCUGUGCCGAAGCUAACGCUUUAAGUGUCCCGCCUGGGGACUACGGCCGCAAGGCUAAAACUUAAAGGAAUUGGCGGGG